rnacentral:piRNA from 1 species
GCAAUCAGCUGGCUUCUGCCUAUUAUGGUC